GACGAACGCUGGCGGCGUGCUUAACACAUGCAAGUCGAACGGAAAGGCCCUGCUUUUGUGGGGUGCUCGAGUGGCGAACGGGUGAGUAACACGUGAGUAACCUGCCCUUGACUUUGGGAUAACUUCAGGAAACUGGGGCUAAUACCGGAUAGGAGCUCCUGCUGCAUGGUGGGGGUUGGAAAGUUUCGGCGGUUGGGGAUGGACUCGCGGCUUAUCAGCUUGUUGGUGGGGUAGUGGCUUACCAAGGCUUUGACGGGUAGCCGGCCUGAGAGGGUGACCGGCCACAUUGGGCCUGAGAUACGGCCCAGACUCCUACGGGAGGCAGCAGUGGGGAAUAUUGCACAAUGGGCGGAAGCCUGAUGCAGAAACGCCGCGUGCGGGAUGACGGCCUUCGGGUUGUAAACCGCUUUCGCUUGUGACGAAGCGUGAGUGACGGUAAUGGGUAAAGAAGCACCGGCUAACUACGUG
rnacentral:rRNA from 1 species